UCCAGACUCCUACGGGAGGCAGCAGUGGGGAAUAUUGCACAAUGUGGGAAACCCUGAUGCAGCGACGCCGCGUGAGUGAAGAAGUAUUUCGGUAUGUAAAGCUCUAUCAGCAGGGAAGAAGAAGGACGGUACCUGAGUAAGAAGCCCCGGCUAACUACGUGCCAGCAGCCGCGGUAAUACGUAGGGGGCAAGCGUUAUCCGGAUUCACUGGGUGUAAAGGGAGCGUAGACGGCGACGCAAGUCUGGAGUGAAAGCCCGGGGCCCAACCCCGGGGCUGCUCUGGAAACUGCGUCGCUGGAGUACGGGAGGGGCAGGCGGAAUUCCUGGUGUAGCGGUGAAAUGCGUAGAUAUCAGGAGGAACACCGGCGGCGAAGGCGGCCUGCUGGACCGUGACUGACGUUGAGGCUCGAGAGCGUGGGGAGCAAACAGGAUUAGAUACCCCAGUAGCA
rnacentral:rRNA from 1 species